AAAAAGAUAUACUGGCAGUUGAAAUGUGUACCAUAUGAUGGGGUGCCAUUCCAACUCGUGGGCACCAAGAUAUAUGGAUGCCACCAGGGAAAGGACAGGUGUACUCGGCAAAAGGAGAAGUACCAUGCACAAAAAGAGAAACAAGCGCUUGAAGACCAUGUCUUCAAUGCAAGACGCCAUCUCGUACAAAAUAUGAAGAAGAUGGAUUGCCCUGCCCAGAUAACUGUCAGUCAGGUCAUGAAAUGUCCUGGUUUCAAGAUUGCAGAGAACAGUAAAGCAAAGAGGAGGGAGCUCUCAGCAGCACUAAAGGCUGUAGUUGCAGCUGAUCCUUCAACAGUUGAAGUAGUCAUGGAAUACCACACAUGCUUCACCCCAGAAAGUGACCAUCAAAACCAUCCAACUGUUGGAGAGGUAACCAUGCCAAAUCUAUUCCUUUAGCUGC